UAGGGUGAGAGAGAGAGGGAGACAUACCGGGAAAAAUUAUUUGCAACGGAUCUCACAGACCAAGAGCUCAUUUCACUAAUAUAUAAAAAGCUCCGAGAUCUCAAUAAGCGAAAAUAUCAGCAACCCAACAGAAGCUUAUACAAAGGAUGUGGGUGGGCAAAUCCAUAGGAAAGAAAAUUCAAAUGUCUCUUGACCUAGGGAAAACGUUCAGCCGUGCUCAUAGUAAGAGAAACGCAAAUUAAAACACACGGAGGUAACACUCUUCACCGAUCAGGUUGGCAAAGAUCCAAAAGGUCGAUGAUGUGGCAUGUUGAUGGGGCUGAGGGCAAUGGGAAAGAACGUCUUAUGUGUGGCUCAUACAACCCCAUGCGGAGGACAUGGGCUUUUCAGAUUGAAAACUCCCAUAUCCUUUGACCCUGAGAUUAAAGAUCAGGGAAUGUGUUCUAUGGAUUAACCUUCCCCAGUAUAAAAUGACUUCUGGGCAGGGUCAUUUGCCACAUCUUAGUUUUUUAAUGGCUAAAGAUUGGAAAUAUCCAAGUGGGCGUCCAUGGGGAACCGAUUUAAUAAAUUAUGCUCCAUUCAUACAGUGGAACAAGACAGCUGUACGAAAAGGUGGGGAAGGUCUCCGGAACGCCGUGAACUAAGAGGGAGAGAUCGCCAAAGUAAGCAGUUAAGAUAGAAAGGCAGGCGGCUGGACGGUUCUUACGGUACGCUAACUUGGUGUAAAAACGGGAGAAAAGUCAAUCUGUAAUAUUUGCAUUUCUUAUAAACAUAUAAAGAAACUCUGGAGGGAUGCACAAAGACAGUGGCUACCUGUGUGUGCCGGCAGGGGGGAGGGGGACCUUUUAUAUCCCUUUUAUAUAUCUUUGAAAUUUGAACCAUGGGCGUGUGUAAGCCAUUCAACAAAAUUAAGUAAAAUUUGAAUAAAGGAAAUAAG